UACGUAGGUGGCAAGCGUUUGUCCGGAUUUACUGGGCGUAAAGAGCGCGCAGGCGGUCGUUCAAGUCGAGUGUGAAAGCCCCCGGCUCAACUGGGGAGGGUCAUUCGAUACUGAUCGACUCGAAGGCAGGAGAGGGUAGUGGAAUUCCCGGUGUAGUGGUGAAAUGCGUAGAUAUCGGGAGGAACACCAGUGGCGAAGGCGACUACCUGGCCUGUUUCUUGACGCUGAGGCGGCGAAAGCUAGGGGAGCAAACGGGG
rnacentral:rRNA from 1 species